UAUCAUAGGUAGUAUGUGAAUACACUAGAGUGUAUUCCCAAAUUAUCUUAGUGGGAUAUAGAUAUAAAUAAGACAGAUACAAUUUAAAUAAUUCUUAUAAGACAAAUACCCAGCAAACACAGUCUAAUUUUUAGUUUCCUAGUUCUAGCCUUUAGUGGCAAGUUUUCUAUAAUAGAGCAGAAUUUUAUUAUUUGUAAUCAUAUAUACACACAAAAAAACAUACAUAUAUGCGUAUACAUGUGUAAGUGUAUAUCAACAAACACAUACACAGAGGCAUACACACAAAUCUUUGUGUGUACUGUGUGUGUGUUUAUAUACACUUGUAAUUAUCCUUUUGGAUUAUGUAGAACAGUCCCCGUUCCACAUGAAUAUUUGGCAAAAUUUUCCUACAGGUUCAGGUUAGAUGAACAGAAGCAAACUGCCCGGGCAGCAAAUAUACCUCAUGGGGGAAAUACAGGUUAUUGAUAAAUGCUGCAGAACUUACGCUGACACUUUGGUUUGUUUCGUCCCAGCAAAUGAGAAGGAUGUUCUUACUUCUUAACGGAAACACUAAAGCUCUACUUCCUUAAAACUUGAUCUUUGGAUGUAGAGACGGUACUCACUUCAAUAUACAUACAGGUGGCAAAACAAACCAAAGGUCGGUGUAUAAACCUCAUGUUUCUUAGAUAGAUAAGACAAGACUGUUGAUUCCAGGAUUGGACCAGCCUUAAUAAUAAUAAUAUUAAGAUUAACACAAAUCCAUAAAAAGACGUUAUUUAAUUUCCUUUUAAGCUAUUCUCAUUCUCCUUCUUGUCCUGAUUUAACUACUUUUUCUCAGCCCUUUGUACACUGGAUAUUCUAUUUGAAAACACAAAUAAUGCCAUGCAAUAAACAUGCUAUGAUCAUUUUUAUAGUUUUUUUGUGAUUAAAUGUCCUUACCAUGAGAAGUUCUUCAUAAAACUCCAAAAGAUGAUUUUCCUGGUAUGGAAAAAUAAAUCAUUAAAAUUAGAAAUAAUGAACAUUAUAUCAUCUGAUAUGUAGGUUUCCUUUUCUGAUUUAAAUUUCUUUAACUUGGCCAUGUUUAUUCAAAUAAGACUGCUGUUAUUAUUUGAACAGUUAAAACACUUUCACAUUUAAUGCAACACUAUUGACUUAUCACCAAGUAAAAUAAGUAUACCAACUAUAAAGUAUGAAAAUCCUUAGAGAUUUUCCACUUCCACUUCUACUAUUCAUUUAACGUGUAUUGGCCUCAGUUCCCAUAUAACAUCCUAGAAUUUGAGUCAGUUGAACUAUAGCAUAUAUGAAAUUCUAAUUAUGUUCAAAGCUUAGCCAAAGUAAUUUUAACUAAUUUAAAGAAAAGUUUUAUACAUGUUAAUUUUGAGAUGAUAAUUACACACACACAUAACACACACACAAAAUAUCAAGUUGUAUUUCAUGUAUCUCAAGUUUAAAUUGGGAUUCAAAGUUAUUGAGUAAUUUGCAACUAUUUAAUUUCAAUCAAGAGUAGAACAUAUUUUUCAUUUACUUUAGUAUUCUAAACACUGAAAGCCUGAGCUCAAACAUAAGAAAGAAAACUCUAAUUUGUCACUGAGUAAUUUAAAUACUUUUAAAAGAAACUUUUGCUCAUAAAAAGUACUUGUUUCAGCACUGUUACUUUUCUCAAUCCCUACCAUGUUUUUUUUUUUUUUCUACUGUCAUCUUUUAAUUUAAAUUUGGAGUACCAACUCAGAAUUGAGCAAAAGCAAUAGAUUUCCAAAAUCAGAAGGCUGCUGUGAAUCACUUUCAAUAAGAGAAGAAAAACAAAUGAAAUACAGCCAGCAUUAGGCUCUGGAAUUGAAAUUACAAGCACUCUGAGGAAUAAUUAUAGUAUGUGGUCCAAGGAUCCUGCUGCUCAGGUCCAUUAACAUCGCAGACCCUGCUGAAUUAUGAAAAUGUUUCUAAGAUCUAACAGUUUUACAAAAAGUUGCCAAACCGAAUCCCCAAAAUAUUCCCUUGAUAAAUAAAAAGGUUAUAUAAAACUCAAUAUUUAUAUUGUAGUCUUAAGAAAAGUUUGGAACAUACAGAUAUAUUCCACAGGUUAAAAAUGGUGAAAUGUCUGGUAUUAAAAUGAACGGGCAGAGCAACUGAAAACUCAGUUAAAUAGAUCUGAUUUUAAAUUCCAUCACCAACAGAAAAUGACUCUGAUACUCCCAAAGUAAUAAAGCCCAUAGUUCUUUCUGUGCAGCUCAAGAAUGCAGAUCUGGGGCAGGUGAAAGUUACAGGAAGGUUAAUUUCAUCUUGAUAUAAGGGGGGGGGGAAUGCAUCAUAAGAUAGAGUGCUUUCAGUGACUACACACAUUUAAACAAAGGAUGGAUGGUUUCCUGUCAGCCAGUCUAGAAAGUGUUUCUGACUAGAGGUCUCCAUGCUUUUUCCCCACACUCAAGACUCAGUAAUUCUGUGCUUCUAUAACCUUUUGUAGUGACCCUGAAAGAAAAUCUAGAUGCAAACCAAAUCUGUUAAUAUACUUUAAAUAUCACGUUCCUAUUAAAUAUUUCUUUAAAAACUUCUCAUGUUCUUCAUGGAUGUAUCAUAUCCCUUACCAGUGGGUCCUCCCAUUUGGAGUUUCCUUAGGCUCAAACAUGCUUUCCCCUCUUGUUCCUCUCUAGCAAAUCCUGGGUAAGCCAUAGGUUCUCGCCACGUAUUAGCUUCUACAGGAACUCUUUCCUGUCCCUCUCCCACUAUGGAGACUGUGUUAAGUGUCCUUCAAUGUGCUUCUGUGGAACAUACCCUAUAGCUCGGCUCUUCAUAUUGUGUUGUAACUAUUUCCCUCACUAGACCAUACACUCCCAUAGGCAGUAGCUGCGAUUACAAUGAAAUACAUCGAAUAAAUUAGUCCUGUGAUAGUACCAGGUCCAGAAUAUUGGUAUGACUUGGAAAAGAUUAUUUUUUAGAUAAAUUUGAGAUAUUAUUGAAAAAAAAGCUGGUGAUGCAGAGGUUAAGCAAAUUUAUUUAAUGAAGUUCAUGACAGAGCCAUGCAAGUAUUUUUAUAUUCUGUGAAUCUACUAUUAUUAAGAGGAUAAGUGGAUGCAGAAUUUCCCAACAUUAUUUUACCUCAGAAUCUUUUUUUAUUUUUUCAUGGAGCUUCUUAUAAGUCUAGGGUUCCUCCUCAUUUAUUUUAGAGAAUGUUGAAUCAUUUCAUUCACAGUUCUCUGUAUAGUAUCUUCCACAGAAUAGACCAUAAGAAAAACUAACUAUAUUAGUUAUUAAAGUAUAAACUAAUUGCUUUUAGGUUUCCUGAUAAAUUUCACUCUAUCUACCCCAAAUUACUGUUUUUAGAUCAAAGGAACUUUGUGAUAAUCUUCUUUAUUCUGAUUGUAGGAGUCCUAUUUCUGAUAUACUUAGUUUCUCCCCUUUGAACUAAACAUCUUAGUUCCCUUUUUCCUACUUUAGUGUGAUUUCCAGAUUAUCAGAUUGACAGCAAUCUUGUUAUAAAAUUUAAGUUUACUGAUUCUGGUAUAUUAUUCUCAGCAUACUUUAAGUCAAGAUAAGAUAGAAUUUUAAUAUUCUGGAAAGAUACCAAGGUUCACUCCUGUGUUCUUUGUUGCACUCAUAUUGUUCCUAUUGCCCAGAAUGCUUUUUCUCCUUCCCUUUCCUUUUUCAAACAUUAUUUACCCUUUGUGAUAAAGUUCAAUCCUACUGCACGCCCAAUUCCCUCCCUCCUGUUCUCAGACAUAUCAUUUAAGAUUCAUAGCUAUGAUCAAAAUUCAGUUUCCUAAUUUUCUAUAUUAUUCACUGACAUUCUCUCUGCAUUUUCUGUCAUUCAAUAAGAAGUUAUAAGAACUGUGAGGGCAAGUACCUUUCUUUUUCUCUAGAACACUUUGUAAAGUGUGCACAUACAUAAAAACUACUGAUUAACUGGUUGCCUGAAAACAGUGGUACACAUUUAAAUGCAGAAUUCUAGGGCUAUAGCCUUUGUGAAUACCCUUGCUUCUUGAUAUUUAGAGGGCUAAGAAAACUGGCAGUGGGCCAGAUAGAGUCAGUUGGUAUGCAGUAUGCUUCCUGACCUUCCAAGCUUUCUCUUCACUGGGAGGGAGGGUGGUAUAGUGAAAAACCUGAAAAUGACACUUCUAGAUUUUCUUGCCCAGGUCCCUAAUUGGCUCUAUACAUGGGAAGCAAUGGUAGGAAGCUAGAAGGCAGCGGUGAAUCAAAAGUCUUUCUAUCUUCAACUCUCAAGUAGCAGAAAGGCAACUACUAGCAAAGCGUAGACUCUAGAAUUUUCAGGUACCAACAGCAAAGGUGGAUGAAACCCCACUUGAGAAGCAGUGCUGCAGCUUAGCUAUGUUGAGGAAGGAAUAGUUCCCUGACUUGAGUUAACACACACUCUUCACUCUUCCCCCUUACUACCCAUCUAUCACUUUUGUAAAUAUUUAUCUGUAUUAAAAACCUUUCUUUGAGGGCAAACCAAUGGCCAAUAAACAUAAGAAAAGCCAUCAGAGAAAUACAAAUUAUAACCAUAAUGAAAUGCCACUUAAUAAUCACCAGAGUAGCCAUUUAGAAAGUUAAGAAAUAAAAGGGAAAAAAAAAUCCAAGUCUUGAUGAAGAUGCAGAGCGACCAGAAUAAACACAGCUGGUGAAAGUGUAAACAUGGUACAACCUCUUUGGGAACUUAUUUGGCCAGUUACUCCUGAAGGUGAACAUAUGCCAUCUCUAUGACUUAGGAAUUCCAUUUCUAGGUCUAUGCUUAUUAUAAAUGUGCACACAUGUUAAAAAAAAAAAAACUGACUAGAAUGUUGAUAGUAUACUAUUUGUAACACCUGAAACCUGGAUAUUACUCAAAUCUUCAUUAACAGUAGUAAGACAACUUGAGAUACGUUCAUAUAAAGGGACACUAUGCAGCAAUAAUAAUGACUACAAUCACUGAUGUUCAGCAACAAAAAUGAAUCAUAUAAAAAUGCUGAGCUACAGAAAUCCUGCAACGCAUGCAUACUAUUUUAUCCUUUUUUAUAUAAAAUAAAACAAACAAACGUAUUCCCUGCAGUAAGAAGUUAGGAUAAUUGACUGCCUUUAAGGGAAGGGCUAGGGAUGAUCUGGUUUUUUGAUUUGGGUGCCAGAGACAGGGAUAUUCAGUUGGCAAAAACUCUUUGAGGGGUACGGAAAAGUGCAAAUACUUCCAUAUAAUGUUUCCUUAAAAGUUCUUGCUCUAUUUCAGACCAGGAUAAACUACGACUUUGUCAGGGCAUAGCUGGGAAUAAUAUUAGUCUGGAAAAACUGAAAGCAAGUACUGUAUUUAUUUCUUUUAGCUUUACAACUACGAAGCAAAGCACUAAUAAAGUUCUCUCAGAACAUCUGAUUAUAAAAGAAAUUUAAUUCUUUUGAAAAACCUAGAGUGGUUUCUGUUUUUCUGAAUUAAUGUAUCAACAUGUAGCUUUAUUUGCUUUCUAAGCUAACAUAUGGAUUUCUUAUACACUAUUUCAAAAUGAGUUUCAUCAUAAUUUACAUAAAAUAACUGAAAAUCUCAGAAAAUAUGUUAAAAAUUUCUGCCAAAAUUCAUGAAAUAUCCCAACUCAUUAAGAAAUAAUUCAAGUUUUGAAGAUAUAUAAAGAAUACUAAUGACAUUUUCACAUACAUUUUAAACACUCCACUAUCACUUCCAGAUCAUAUUUAAAUAUUUUCAUUCAUUAUCAUUAUUUUCAUGAAACCUCUCAAGUCUUUCACAAGAGUAAAUUUUUCUCCUUCCAGACAAGAAAGGGGAAUUAUUAAAUAAAGUAGAACUUUAAGGGACAUAAUUUGUUUUAUUCAACUUUCAUUAUUAAAUAAAAAUCAGGGACUCAAAUGUUUAAUGAAAAAAAUUAAACAUACAGAGGCACAUUGUCUAAGUACAAUUACAAAUGCUAUUAUAUUUCUUUAUGGGACUCCUCAUUCAUAGGGACAAGAUUUAUACAAACAACCUCAAUAAAACCUUGCAAGCCAAUUAAAGCAAGCAAUGACCCAAAUGUGUCAAUUUCUUAGCCAUUUUAGAAAGUGCUCCAGGAGAAUGGGAACCAUUAUCAUUUUAAGUGACCAAACCAAAAAAAAAAAAAAAAAAAAAAAAAAAAAAAAAA
rnacentral:lncRNA from 1 species